UACAGAGGGUGCAAGCGUUGUCCGGAAUUACUGGGCGUAAAGGGCGCGUAGGCGGCUUGAUAAGUAGGGGGUGAAAUUUCGUGGCUCAACCACGAAACUGCCUUCUAAACUGUCUGGCUUGAGCACGGUAGAGGCAGAUGGAAUUCCCGGUGUAGCGGUGGAAUGCGUAGAGAUCGGGAGGAACACCUAUGGCGAAGGCAGCUCGCUGGGACGUUACUGACGCUGAGACGCGAAAGCGUGGGGAGCAAACAGG
rnacentral:rRNA from 1 species